CGGGAGUGUUUAUACAGUCACAAAGUAGCAGGGAACGCAGCUCUGAGAUGCUCCAGAUGCAGGACAAAACUACUUUUCUCAUGCUCUGUACCAGGUUCUGGCCAGUGACACCACUUCCUUAAUGUGCUGUCAGUGAUUUUGCCUUUUUCUGGCCCCAGUGUCUUGUACAACAGCGAGAAGAAGAUAUACAGGAGACCGUGUCCUCCAUAAACGCGUGGUGGCCUUCCAUUGUGUUUGCACUGCUCAUCAGAACUUACAAAGCAUUUCGGAGAUGGUGUCACCUUUGACCAUCACCAUAACGUGGCUAGGUGGGUAUUAUUGUGCCGGUUUUAUGGUGAGUGAACCAAAGAUCAAAGUUAAGACACUUUUAUCAAGGUCAUGCAGGAGAUGAGGCUGGGACCGAGCCCUCUGGAAGGAACAUGGUUGUUUUGUUUUUCUGGGCUGUUUCUGGACUAAAGCUUUUAUUUUUAUUUCUUAAAUAAAUUCUGAAAUUAUAAAGGAUAAAGGAAAAAUGUGUGGAAUGAGUUUACAGUGAAGCAUUUUAAACUUAUUUUUUUUUUAAAUGUCUUAUUUAUUCUUGAGAGAGAGAGAGAGAGAGAACAGGAGCAGGUGAGCAGCAGAGUGAGAGAGGGACACAGAAUCUGAAGCAGGCUCCAGGCUCUGAGCUGUCAGCACAGAGCCCAAUACAGGGCUUGAACUCAUAGAGUAUGAGAUCAUGACCUGAGUCGAAGUCGGACCCUUAACCAACUGAGCCACCCAAGCACCCCUACAGUGAAGCAUUUUAAAGGAACAAGGCAAUAGUAGACCUUCUCUUCCUUCUUGUACCUCCUAACUGGAAACGAAGAUGCCCUUUGUCUUCUCAUGGAGGGAUGGGUCUUAUUAGGAUGAUCCCUAUAUUAACAGUAGAAAUAGAGUCAAUGUGUUGAUUCCAGGGUAAAACAAGUGUUCUUUGUCUGGGUGCAGGGAUAGAAUUCAGCAGCCCAUGCACUUGGAUGAAGAAAAAAUACUGUUUUUUUUUUUUAAAGAUUAAAAAUAUUUUAAGUGUAUUUAUUUAUUUUGACAGAGACAGAAACAGCAUGAGUGGGGGACUGGCAGAGAGAGAGGGAGACAGGGAAUCCCAAGCAGGCUUGAACUCUCAGCAUGGAGCCUCAUGUGGGGCUCAAACUCACAAACCACGAGAUCGUGACCUGAGCUGAAACCAAGAGUCAGAUGCUUAACCAACUGAGCCUCCCAGGCACCCCUGAAGAAAAAAUAUUUUUUUAAAAAUUUCUUGAGCCUCUAGUAGUCUCCACAAUUAUAAAUGUAGAUUCUGAAUCACAAUUAUUAACUGUUCCUGUGAAUCUGCCACCAGGAGAAAUCAGACUUGUUCCUAUCACAUUAGGACUGUUGCAAAUAUCUUGAAAUAUCCUUUAUACUCAUCACUACUUCAAAAUAUGGUAGCUAUGAGACCUGCAGCUGGAUCUUUUUAUUUAAUGUGUUAAUAAAGACACAUAUUAUUUUUAUUAUGAAGUUUAGAAAGCCAUUUUGAUAAUUGUAUUUCUAGAACAGAGGGUUGCUGGAGGGGAGCUAGGCAGGGAGAUGGGCUAAAUGGGUGAUGGACAUUAAGGAGGGCACUUGUGAUGAGCUCUGGGUAUCAUAUGUCAGUGAUGAAUCCCUAAAUUCUACUCCUGAAACUAAUAUUACACUAUAUGUUAAUUAACUAGAAUUUAAAUAAAAACUUGAAACAAAAAAAAAGAAAAAUUUUUGAAUCUUGAGCAAAACAUAAACAUGUGGAUUAUCUAUUUUCAGUGUAAUCAUAUGUAUUUUAUUUUAUGCAUUUAGAAACAGUACUCUGAGAAGGGGUAUAGGUAUCACCAUGUUGUCACAGGGGUGCGUGGUACAAGUACAAGUUUUAAAAACUUGCUUUGAAGGAACAAAAAAAUCUUAAAUUAUUCCCAGGCAACAAAAUUUUCAAAAAAUUUUUGGAGGAAGGAACUAAGUUGAGGCACCAAUUCCUCAGUCUCAUUGCAUUUUCUAUCUCUACUUGGCACACUGAAUUCCUAAAAAACGUGUCAAUUUGUGCCAUAAACAUUCGUAGAGAAUGAUGCUCCUUUGUCUUCAUGGAGGAAUGAACGGACUGCUAACACACAUUGAGUUUGGUUCAUGGGACACUUCCCAAAAGGAGAGAUGGUUUAAGAUGGAGAGUAAAGCAGAAGGGGGGGAAUACCUGCAUCAGGGAAUUAGCCGAGGACAAAAUCUUACAUGAUAGACCUUCUGCACUGAGUCUGAAAACCACAUUUCUCUUCAUGUGGGAAAGCAUGUCAUGACCUAACCUUUCUGUGUCCUCUCAACCAGAGGUAAUCAAAUUAUGCAUGAAAUAAUUUAAUAAUUUUAUUUUCAGUUGGCAAGCACUAAAUUUCAUGUUAAAUCUGUCCACAUAUGGGAAGAUAUUUGUGGCAGUAACAUCUCCUAUUAUGUGCUAUUCUCAGAAUCUAUUAUAUUACAAUUCUUAACCUAGGUAUGGAAGUGAAAAGGUCUAAGCCUCCGACUAAUAUAAUUUGAUGAUUCAUAUAUACCGGGAGGAAUUCAGGACUUCCAUAUGAUUUUUCUGAUUAAACCCUCCUGAUAGUGUAGUCUUUUACUUUGCUACUGGAAAUCAUUUCGCUUGGCUUGCUAUUUCUUCUGACAUAUGUUCCAACUGAGCAGAAUCUUUGAGAAAUUAGAUAACCAUUAAGGACAGUAUGUAGAGCAUAAUGUGUAGAAAGAGCAAUAGGCAGAACCAAUAUGUGGUUGCUUCCUUUAUAGCUUAUAUAUUUUUUAAAUUUUUUAAUGUUUAUUUAUUUUUGAGAGAGAUAGACAGAGCGUGAGGGGAGGGGGAGGGGCAGAGAGAGAGGAAGACACAGAAUCUGAAGCAGGCUCCAGGUUCCGGGCUGUCAGCGCAGAGCCUGACGUGGGGCUCGAACCCACGAACCGUGAGAUCAUGACCUGAGCCAAAGUCAGACACUCAACCGACUGAGCCACCCAGGCGCCCCUAUAGCUUAUAUUUUUAUGAUGCAAACUCUAUGGUUCAUAAAUAGACCAUAUUUUUCAUAUCCCCAAAGAUUUGCCCUGGUUCCUCUCCCAGGAACGUUAUUCUGCUCUCAUUUACCCUCUGCAAACUCAAGAUCUGCUAAGUCAUCAUUUCUUGCAAAAACUUACCCUGAUCCUUCCUCUCAUUCCAGGUUGGGUUACCUGCCCCUCUGUACCAUUAAAGUCCUCUGUCCUUCUAGAGACAUGAACUGUUGUCACUUCCCCCUACCCAUACCUUCCACUCUGUGCUCAACACUAUGAACAUCUGGAGGACUGGAAUCCCACCUUUGAGUUAUAGGCAAAUAUUAGGCACUCAAUAAUUUUUUGUAGAAUUAAUUGAAAUAAUAAGUUAAUGUAGCCAACAAAUAAGACUAAUGAGACAGGAAACUUGAAGACUGAAGGGUGGAUAGGUAAGGGUGGAGAGGCAAGUCAGUCCUAGGCAGUCUCAUUUCCAAGAUGCCAAUAGAAGCGUGUGUGUGUGCGUGUGUGUGUGUGUGUGUGUGUGUGCGUGUGUGUGGUGUAUGCACAUAUGCACAGGCAUCCAUGUUUGCAUGGGAGUAGUGGUAGUACAGGGGAGGAGAGAUUUAUACUUGACUCUAGAUACUUCCAAUGUAGCCAUACAAAUGUCACACUGCCACUUUCCGACGUGCAAAUGCUACAUUUCUCUAAAUCAGAGAAGUUGGUUCUCUACUUCCACCCACGUGACUGGCAGAAAAACUCAACCUCAGUCGUGUUUGGGAAUUCUCUCUCCUCCUCCAGGGGUUCAUGCAAGGAUCUCCUGGUAUUUGAGAUGCCAUACUCUGCAGAGUCCUGAUCGCCUCCUCCGUUUGCUGUGAC
rnacentral:lncRNA from 1 species